rnacentral:rRNA from 1 species
ACGCUUGAAGUCAGUCGCGUCGGGUUGGAAAUCAACCUUGCUUUUGCUGGGUGUACUUUCCGUCCGACGGGUCAGCAUCAGUUUCGGUCGCUGGACAAAGUUCUUUGGGAACGUGGCAUCUUCGGAUGUGUUAUAGCCCUUGGGACGUAUGCAGUGGUCGGGAUUGAGGAACUCAGCACGCCGCGAGGCUGGGCUUGUCCACACGAACGUGCUUAGGAUGCUGGCAUAAUGGCUUUAAUCGACCCGUCUUGAAACACGGACCAAGGAGUC